UACGUAGGUGGCAAGCGUUGUCCGGAUUUACUGGGCGUAAAGGAUGCGUAGGCGGACAUUUAAGUCAGAUGUGAAAUACCCGAGCUUAACUUGAGUGCUGCAUUUGAAACUGGGUGUCUAGAGUGCAGGAGAGGUAAGUGGAAUUCCUAGUGUAGCGGUGAAAUGCGUAGAGAUUAGGAAGAACACCAGUGGCGAAGGCGACUUACUGGACUGUAACUGACGCUGAGGCAUGAAAGCGUGGGGAGCAAACAGG
rnacentral:rRNA from 1 species